UCCACAAUCGACAACGCAUCUGAGAAUCUGACGUCGCAACGAUUCUCGGGCUAUCAACGAAAAUAAUAAAUACAACAAAGUCUGCAGUGCACAUAGUAUGUAUGCACAUACAUAGUACGUACAUACAUGCAUAUACCUACAUACAUAUGUAUGUACUGUUUUUUGCUAUGUAUCUAUAGGUGAUUCUUCCAUUUACUGACAAAUAUGUGCAUGCAAAACGUUCCACUGUAAAACACCAACAUAUGUACAUAACUACGUGUGCAACAGUGUGCUGCUGAGGCGUAAUAGAGUGGAACAAAGAACGGAACGGGCGGGCGAGGGCCUAGAACAGAGCAGCACAGAGGAGAAUCGAUCAGCACGGAAAUGAACGGAACGGAACUGAACGGUAAAGAUCACAGCUGAGGCGGAAUUGUCCAUGCCAUAUUCCACGCUCCUUGCGAAAAGCAAACAAAAAGCUCAGCCCCUCCCCACACAAAGAAAUGUCCUUCCGGCCUUCUCCGGCGACAUGCCAGCGAUAGCAUGUGUUAUACAUAUAUGUACUUACAUGAAUAUAUGUACAAUGUACAUAUAUACUCGACACACGAAUGCAUUCACACAAGAAAGUCUGUAUGUCUAAUUGUAUCAGCCGUUUAUUGGCUCCACAAAGAGACAACCUCACGAAUUCAAAAUCCAUCCGUAAGUCUGAAGAAAGCUGGAAAAGACUGGGGACACGUCAGAGGACUGGGGCUGAGGCUGUGACUGAGGUCUGUUCUUGUCUGGACAAGGGCCAGUCAUUGUCGUCACAACCACCGUGGCCCAAAGUCUGUCCUCACAACAGUGUCAUCUUAACAUCUACGUUUUCUGUUCUGCUCGAUUGCCUACGACGAUCUCUAUAUGAAAUUGAGAAAGUAGAAAGCAGCAAGGUCCUAUCAUGGUUAUCCUGGAUCCUGGAGCUUCCUAGCCUACGAGUCGAGUAUGUGCUGCCAGAUCCCAACAGUUUACCCCUGCACGAGGGGGUAUAAGAGCGGUUUCAUAUGUCAAGUCAAUCGAAGUUCCAGCUUUGCUGUUCACUCUAAAGCUUUGUGAACAACACCCCAAAUAUAAUAAUAACAACAGAUAAACAGUGGGAGGGAGGAGCGGCAGAAACGGGAGGUUGACGCAGUAGGCGCAAUACCGAAUCGUUUGUUCAAACGACAAUAGAAACAAAAUGAAACCCAAGAGCGAGCAGUAGUGCAUCUCACCUGUGUCCAGCUCGUUCUCGUAGUCAAAGUACUUGGGCGACUCCUUCUUGAAGAACUCGAUGAAGUCGUUGCGUGUCAGUGUGCCAGCCUGGAGUUUCAGCCGCCACUCCUUCAGCGGGGUGCUGCACUCGUCCGGGGGGCCCACUACAACGU